rnacentral:misc_RNA from 1 species
AAGAUAUCAAGUUGAAGAACAUCAUGGUUCCAAAAGGAAUGGACAUUCAAAUACCUGUUGCAAUUUUACAUCGGAAUCCUGAUAUAUGGGGGCCUGAUGCUGACCAGUUCAAUCCUGAAAGAUUUGCAACUAGCAAGAAUGCACAGGCUUACAUGCCAUUCGGAAUUGGUGCUCGAACCUGUGCAGGCCAACACUUCGCCAAAGCUGAGCUGAAGGUGAUUUUGUCGCUCAUCCUAUCAAAGUUUGGCCUCUCUCUCUCACCAGCAUACAUUCACUCCCCAGCAUUUAGGUUGGUGGUGCAACCUGAAAAUGGAGUUAAUCUCUAUGUUAGGAGAAUUUCAUGAGCUAGCGGUUAAUGUCAUAAAGUUUAAUAAACAUAACUAGACUUUUUUU